AUUGAACGCUGGCGGCAGGCUUAACACAUGCAAGUCGAGCGGGAAUAGGUAGCUUGCUACUGAAUUCUAGCGGCGGACGGGUGAGUAAAGCUUAGGAAUCUGCCAUUUAGUGGGGGACAACAUUCCGAAAGGGAUGCUAAUACCGCAUACGUCCUACGGGAGAAAGCAGGGGAUCACUUGUGACCUUGCGCUAAAUGAUGAGCCUAAGUCGGAUUAGCUAGUUGGUGGGGUAAAGGCCUACCAAGGCGACGAUCUGUAGCGGGUCUGAGAGGAUGAUCCGCCACACUGGGACUGAGACACGGCCCAGACUCCUACGGGAGGCAGCAGUGGGGAAUAUUGGACAAUGGGGGGAACCCUGAUCCAGCCAUGCCGCGUGUGUGAAGAAGGCCUUUUGGUUGUAAAGCACUUUAAGCGAGGAGGAGGCUACCUGGAUUAAUACUCUAGGAUAGUGGACGUUACUCGCAGAAUAAGCACCGGCUAACUCUGUGCCAGCAGCCGCGGUAA
rnacentral:rRNA from 1 species